rnacentral:rRNA from 1 species
CAUGCAGUCGAGCGGAAGGCCCUUCGGGGUACUCGAGCGGCGAACGGGUGAGUAACACGUGAGCAACCUGCCCCAGGCUUUGGGAUAACCCCGGGAAACCGGGGCUAAUACCGAAUAUGACCUCUGACCGCAUGGUUGGUGGUGGAAAGUUUUUCGGCUUGGGAUGGGCUCGCGGCCUAUCAGCUUGUUGGUGGGGUGAUGGCCUACCAAGGCGACGACGGGUAGCCGGCCUGAGAGGGCGACCGGCCACACUGGGACUGAGACACGGCCCAGACUCCUACGGGAGGCAGCAGUGGGGAAUAUUGCACAAUGGGCGGAAGCCUGAUGCAGCGACGCCGCGUGAGGGAUGACGGCCUUCGGGUUGUAAACCUCUUUCAGCAGGGACGAAGCGUAAGUGACGGUACCUGCAGAAGAAGCGCCGGCCAACUACGUGCCAGCAGCCGCGGUAAGACGUAGGGCGCGAGCGUUGUCCGGAUUUAUUGGGCGUAAAGAGCUCGUAGGCGGCUUGUCGCGUCGACCGUGAAAACUUGGGGCUCAACCCCAAGCCUGCGGUCGAUACGGGCAGGCUAGAGUUCGGUAGGGGAGACUGGAAUUCCUGGUGUAGCGGUGAAAUGCGCAGAUAUCAGGAGGAACACCGGUGGCGAAAGGCGGGUCUCUGGGCCGAUACUGACGCUGAGGAGCGAAAGCGUGGGGAGCGAACAGGAUUAGAUACC